rnacentral:tRNA from 1 species
GGCAUCAUAGUUGAAUAACAACAUUAAAUUGCAGAUUUAAAAGAGUACUCUGAUACUGAUGCCU